GAGAUGGAUUCCUUCAGUUCGGCUGGCGAGAACACAGGUGUUGCAUGGCUGUCGUCAGCUCGUGUCGUGAGAUGUUGGGUUAAGUCCCGCAACGAGCGCAACCCUCGCCUUUAGUUGCCAUCAUUUAGUUGGGCACUCUAGAGGGACUGCCGGUGAUAAGCCGGAGGAAGGUGGGGAUGACGUCAAGUCCUCAUGGCCCUUACGGGUUGGGCUACACACGUGCUACAAUGGCGGCGACAAUGGGCAGCGAAGGGGCGACCCGGUGCAAAUCCCAAAAAGCCGUCUCAGUUCGGAUUGUACUCUGCAACUCGAGUGCAUGAAGGUGGAAUCGCUAGUAAUCGCGUAACAGCAUGACGCGGUGAAUACGUUCCCGGGCCUUGUACACACCGCCCGUCACGCCAUGGGAGUUGGUUUUACCCGAAGCUGGUGCGCUAACCGCAAGGAGGCAGCCAACCACGGUAAGGUCAGCGACUGGGUGAAGUAGUAACAAGGUAGCCCUAGGGGAACCUGGGGCUGGAUCACCUCCUUAA
rnacentral:rRNA from 1 species